rnacentral:misc_RNA from 1 species
UCGUUCUCUUUUGGGGGGAUAAUGAGAUUCCGAUUGGAAUUGGCUAGGGUUUUUGAGGGAUCAAAUUCUGUGACGUAUUCUUUUACGGUGCCAUUGUUUUGGGUCACGUUAACGCUAUCGAUUUCAGAUGAGGUUUUAGGCUUAGGUGUGGGUUUGGGGGCUGAUUUUGGGAUUGAGAAGGAGAGUUUCAUUGCCUCUAUUAUUUUUUAUGAAGAUGGUCAGAGCUCCGCUCCG